UGGGGAAUAUUGCACAAUGGAGGGAACUCUGAUGCAGCGACGCCGCGUGAACGAAGAAGGCUUUCGAGUCGUAAAGUUCUUUUAUAUGGGAAGAUAAUGACGGUACCAUAAGAAAAAGCCCCGGCUAACUACGUGCCAGCAGCCGCGGUAAUACGUAGGGGGCUAGCGUUGUCCGGAAUCACUGGGGGUAAAGGGUUCGCAGGCGGAAAUGCAAGUCAGGUGUAAAAGGCAGUAGCUUAACUACUGUAAGCAUUUGAAACUGCAUAUCUUUAGAAGAGUAGAGGUAAGUGGAAUUUUUAGUGUAGCGGUGAAAUGCGUAGAUAUUAAAAAGAAUACCGGUGGCGAAGGCGACUUACUGGGCUCAUUCUGACGCUGAGGAACGAAAGCGUGGGUAGCAAACAGG
rnacentral:rRNA from 1 species